CAGUCGCCACGGUAAUACGGAGGGUGCAAGCGUUAUCCGGAUUUAUUGGGUUUAAAGGGUCCGUAGGCGGACUUAUAAGUCAGUGGUGAAAGCCUGUCGCUUAACGAUAGAACUGCCAUUGAUACUGUAAGUCUUGAGUAUAUUUGAGGUAGCUGGAAUAAGUAGUGUAGCGGUGAAAUGCAUAGAUAUUACUUAGAACACCAAUUGCGAAGGCAGGUUACCAAGAUAUAACUGACGCUGAGGGACGAAAGCGUGGGUAGCGAACAGGAUUAGAUACCCCGGUAGUCCCUGUCUCUUAUAA
rnacentral:rRNA from 1 species